rnacentral:rRNA from 1 species
UACGUAGGGACCAAGCGUUGUCCGGAAUCAUUGGGCGUAAAGAGCGUGUAGGCGGCUUGUUAAGUCUUGCGUGAAAUCUCGGGGCUCAACCCCGAGCGGUCGUGAGAAACUGGCAGGCUAGAGUGCGGGAGAGGAGAGUGGAAUUCCUGGUGUAGCGGUGAAAUGCGCAGAUAUCGGGAAGAACACCGGUGGCGAAGGCGGGUCUCUGGGCCGAUACUGACGCUGAGGAGCGAAAGCGUGGGGAGCAAACAGG